CAGCAGCCGCGGUAAUACGUAUGGAGCAAGCGUUAUCCGGAUUUACUGGGUGUAAAGGGAGUGUAGGUGGCCAGGCAAGUCAGAAGUGAAAGCCCGGGGCUCAAUCCCGGGACUGCUUUUGAAACUGCAGGGCUAGAGUGCAGGAGGGGCAAGUGGAAUUCCUAGUGUAGCGGUGAAAUGCGUAGAUAUUAGGGGGAACACCAGUGGCGAAGGCGGCUUGCUGGACUGUAACUGACACUGAGGCUCGAAAGCGUGGGGAGCAAACAGGAUUAGAUACCCCGGUAGUCCACGCCGUAAACGAUGAAUACUAGGUGUCGGGGCACAUAAGUGCUUCGGUGCCGCAGCUAACGCUUUAAGCAUUCCGCCUGGGGAGU
rnacentral:rRNA from 1 species